rnacentral:rRNA from 1 species
AUGAGUAAUGACGCCUUUUUAAUCUGCUCUUGGAAUGUACGAGGACUUGGUGAUAAUGAUAAGUGCUCUGACGUGCUUUCCGAACUAAUCACAACAAAACCGCACAUUACGCUCUUGCAAGAAUCAAAAAUCGACUCUCUCUCCGAAAGUAAAGCAAAAUCCUUCCUACCACGUCAGGCCGACCAAGUUUUCUCCUUGCCAGCUAUCAGAACCGCGGGUGGCACCAUCUCGGCCGUCAACUCUGCAUCCUUCCAAGUCGUGUCCUUCUCCCACUUAACCUUCUCCUCUACACUAAUCCUCCAAUCAACUGCCUGCGCACACCACAUUGCCAUAACUAACAUCUACGCUCCCUCCUCGCGCCCUCUCAAGUUAGCGUUCUUAGACGAACUCGCCUCUAUCGCACAACCAGAUGACACCCCAUGGCUCAUCGCCGGUGACUUCAACCUUAUCCGUUUCCCCUCCGAGAAAAAUAACACCGCCUUCCACCCCGCCGAAGCCAACGCGUUCAACCAAACCUUAGAUAACCUAGCACUUAUCGAAUUACCUUUACGGGACUGCAGGUUCACUUGGUCCAAUAACCGUGCCUCUCCCACACUAGAACGGCUAGAUCGGGUCUUUUUUAACCUUGCAUGGGCAGAUACUUUCCCCAACACUUCCCUUUCCUCUCGAUCCCGCUUUACGUCCGAUCAC